rnacentral:rRNA from 1 species
GACGAACGCUGGCGGCGUGCUUAACACAUGCAAGUCGAGCGGAGCGGCGAACGGGUGAGUAACGCGUGAGUAACUGCCCCCCUCUCUGGGCUAACAGUUGGAAACGGCUGCUAAUACCGGAUAGUGGGGGAUGACUCGCGUCCUAUCAGCUUGUUGGUUGGGUAGUGGCCUACCAAGGCGACGACGGGUAGCCGGCCUGGGAGGGCGACCGGCAACAUUGGGCUGGGAUACGGCCCAAACGCCUACGGUGGGCAGCAGUGGCGAAUAUUGCACAAUGGGGGAAACCCUGAGGCAUCAACGCCGCGUUCGGGAUGACUGUCUUCGGGUUGUAAACCGCUUGCAGCCAUGACGCGGUAGUGGCAGAAGAAGCACCGGCUAACUACGUGCCAGCAGCCGCGGUAAUUC